rnacentral:rRNA from 1 species
GACGAACGCUGGCGGCGUGCUUAACACAUGCAAGUCGAACGGAAAGGCCCUGCUUUUGUGGGGUGCUCGAGUGGCGAACGGGUGAGUAACACGUGAGUAACCUGCCCUUGACUUUGGGAUAACUUCAGGAAACUGGGGCUAAUACCGGAUAGGAGCUCCUGCUGCAUGGUGGGGGUUGGAAAGUUUCGGCGGUUGGGGAUGGACUCGCGGCUUAUCAGCUUGUUGGUGGGGUAGUGGCUUACCAAGGCUUUGACGGGUAGCCGGCCUGAGAGGGUGACCGGCCACAUUGGGACUGAGAUACGGCCCAGACUCCUACGGGAGGCAGCAGUGGGGAAUAUUGCACAAUGGGCGGAAGCCUGAUGCGGCAACGCCGCGUGCGGGAUGACGGCCUUCGGGUUGUAAACCGCUUUCGCCUGUGACGAAGCGUGAGUGACGGUAAUGGGUAAAGAAGCACCGGCUAACUACG